UUUGCAUCUGAAAAAUCUCAAGGAGAGGGAAGAAUAAUAAAUCUGAAGAAACAAAGUCAAGAGCUUCAAUUGGAGCUUGCAAUUGCAAAUGCUGAGUUUGAAGAGGCAAAACACCAGAAGGAAUUUGCUGAGCAAGAGCUCAAAGGCUACGAGGUUGAAUUAGCCAGGAAAGAAUCUGCUAUUCAAGCCCUAGGAGGUUUUCCAUUUGUUUAGUAUUUGAAUUCGCUGAUAUUUACUGGUGAACUUUUUAAGCUAAUUGAAACAAUUUAAUUAGCUGAAUGUUAACUCCAGAAAAUUACUUUUCUCCUAUUUCUAAGAGAUCUGUUUCAAUUUUAUGUUAUAGUUUAGGAUCGGUUUGAUUCAAGAUGAAUUAUCUAUUUAUGGAUCUGAUGUAGAGGCACUUGAGGUAAAAAAUAUCUACUCGAAGUUAUAUUCUCCUUUAAGGCGCACUUAGUUCUCUGUUAGCUUGUAAUGAUUGUUGAAGUUUGUAUUAGAUUUGUAUUUCUACUUAUUUAUAUUUGUAUAUCUGAACAUUACUGCAUUGGCUUGCUAACAAUAACGCUGUUUCUUAUAUGAACUCACUGGUCGAUUGAUGAUAUUCUGAACGUGAAAAGAACAAAGAGGCAGAAACUCGAGAUGGCUUCAUUGAGAAAAUGCAUGAACUCAAUGCACAGAUAAGUGGAUGCAGGAAAUUCCAUGAGACAAUAGACAAUAGUCUCUACAUUCCAAAAUGAUAAUUGCAGCGAGCCAGCAUCAAAUCCUGCAGGUUCUGCAAAAACCAAAGCAGAAGAUGCUGAAGCUGUCAAAACAGACCUCCAGAAUAAGCUGGCUCAGACAGUUCCCAGAUCACUAAGGAAAAAGAGGAAUACCAAGUUGAACAGAAUAUUCA